rnacentral:rRNA from 1 species
CACGUAGGGCGCAAGCGUUGUCCGGAAUUAUUGGGCGUAAAGAGCUCGUAGGCGGUCUGUUACGUCUGCUGUGAAAACCCAGGGCUUAACCCUGGGCUUGCAGUGGAUACGGGCAGACUAGAGGCAGGUAGGGGAGAAUGGAAUUCCCGGUGUAGCGGUGAAAUGCGCAGAUAUCGGGAGGAACACCGGUGGCGAAGGCGGCCCGCUGGGCAACUGCUGACACUGAGGCGCGACAGCGUGGGGAGCAAACAGG